CCUACGGGAGGCAGCAGUGGGGAAUCUUGGACAAUGGGGGCAACCCUGAUCCAGCCAUGCCGCGUGAGUGAAGAAGGCCUUCGGGUUGUAAAACUCUUUCGCCGGUGAAGAUAAUGACGGUAGCCGGAGAAGAAGCCCCGGCUAACUCCGUGCCAGCAGCCGCGGUAAUACGGAGGGGGCUAGCGUUGUUCGGAAUUACUGGGCGUAAAGCGCGCGUAGGCGGCGGAUUAAGUUGGGCGUGAAAGCCCGGGGCUCAACCCCGGAGGUGCGUCCGAAACUGGUUUGCUUGAGGCCGAGAGAGGGUGGCGGAAUUCCCAGUGUAGAGGUGAAAUUCGUAGAUAUUGGGAAGAACACCAGUGGCGAAGGCGGCCACCUGGCUCGGAACUGACGCUGAGGCGCGAAAGCGUGGGGAGCAAACAGGAUUAGAUACCCUGGUAGUCCACGCCGUAAACGAUGAGCGCUAGAUGUCGGGGAGUAUUCUCUUCGGUGUCGCAGCUAACGCAUUAAGCGCUCCGCCUGGGGAGUACGGUCGCAAGAUUAAAACUCAAAGGAAUUGACGG
rnacentral:rRNA from 1 species